UACGUAGGUGGCGAGCGUUGUCCGGAUUUACUGGGCGUAAAGGGCGUGCAGGCGGUUUGUUAAGUGCAGGGUGAAAGCUCCCGGCUCAACUGGGAGAGGUCCUUGCAUACUGGCGAACUCGAGGGAGGCAGAGGAAAGUGGAAUUCCCGGUGUAGUGGUGAUAUGCGUAGAUAUCGGGAGGAACACCGGUGGCGAAGGCGGCAUCCUGGACCGGUAUUGACGCUGAGGCGCGAAAGCUAGGGAGCAAACGGG
rnacentral:rRNA from 1 species